UACGGGGGGGAGCAAGCGUUGUUCGGAAUUACUGGGCGUAAAGGGCGCGUAGGCGGCCUGCUAAGUCGAACGUGAAAUCCCCGGGCUCAACCCGGGAACUGCGUCCGAUACUGGUAGGCUUGAAUCCGGGAGAGGGAUGCGGAAUUCCAGGUGUAGCGGUGAAAUGCGCAGAUAUCGGGAAGAACACCCGUGGCGAAGGCGGUUCUCUGGGACGGUACUGACGCUGAGACGCGAAAGCGUGGGGGAGCGAACAGG
rnacentral:rRNA from 1 species